UACGUAGGGACCGAGCGUUGUCCGGAAUCAUUGGGCGUAAAGAGCUCGUAGGCGGUUUGUCGCGUCUGCUGUGAAAACCUAAGGCUCAACCUUGGGCUUGCAGUGGGUACGGGCAGACUAGGGUGCGGUAGGGGAGAUUGGAAUUCCUGGUGUAGCGGUGGAAUGCGCAGAUAUCAGGAGGAACACCGAUGGGCGAAGGCAGAUCUCUGGGCCGUUACUGACGCUGAGGAGCGAAAGCGUGGGGAGCGAACAGG
rnacentral:rRNA from 1 species